rnacentral:misc_RNA from 1 species
GAAAUAAACUGACAGGUUGUUGCUGGUUCUCUAGGGAACAUUGUGCACGCCUUGUCAUCUUUAUAUCUCCACCUGUGCACCUUUUGUAGACCUGGAUAUCUCUCUGAGUGCUUGCGCGCUCAGGUUUGAGGAUUGAUUCUUUUGUCUCUCCUUACAUUUCCAGGCCUAUGUUUCUUCAUAUACCCUAAUGUAUGUUAUAGAAUGUAAUAAUGGGCCUUUGUGCCUAUAAACAAUAUACAACUUUCAGCAACGGAUCUCUUGGCUCU